rnacentral:rRNA from 1 species
AGAUUGAACGCUGGCGGCAGGCCUAACACAUGCAAGUCGAGCGGUAGAGAGGUGCUGCAUCUCUUGAGAGCGGCGGACGGGUGAGUAGUGCCUAGGAAUCUGCCUAGUGGUGGGGGAUAACGUUCGGAAACGGACGCUAAUACCGCAUACGUCCUACGGGAGAAAGCGGGGGACCUUCGGGCCUCGCGCCAUUAGAUGAGCCUAGGUCGGAUUAGCUAGUUGGUGAGGUAAUGGCUCACCAAGGCGACGAUCCGUAACUGGUCUGAGAGGAUAAUCAGUCACACUGGAACUGAGACACGGUCCAGACUCCUACGGGAGGCAGCAGUGGGAA